AGCGUUACCGUGGUAACGGCCCACCCUCAGCCUGUAGAAGUCAGCUUCGUUCUCCACUCUGAAGCUGGCGUACUCUGCGAACACCUUCCUGCCGGACCAGUCUUCCAGCGUGACGAGCAGCUUGGAGUGAAGACAGGAAACAGGACUUGGCUGGGAAGCAAGAUGGAUGGAACUACUGCGGCAAGCUUUGUGGGGAUGAAAGUAUUAGGGCCACCAAAACUUUUAACGUCGAAAUGAGCCUCCAGUCCAGAUCUCUGCUGAGCCCGCUGAUGAAGCCAUCGACACCCCUCAGCUGUCCACUUCCAGUCAUUUCUUCCUCCACGAAAGGCCAGAUCUCCUCCAAAUCUGGGUGGUGCUACUGUCUGAAGAGGUCUAUAGCUUCCUGAAUUUUCAUUCUAACAGACUAUUUCAUUCCUCUUUGUUGUUUUGUCUUGAAACAAGAUGUUUCAUCUGGAGAAGAGGGCAAGGCUCUUUUCCUUCUCAUUUGUUGGUUCUUCUGAACAUAUAUGGCGAAUCGUGGUGUAUAUGGCCAAUGGGCUUCUGGGUAUGUGAAUUGAAAGGGCAGAAUAAAGACGUGGUCAUGUGAUGGUGUGUUUCUGCGCUUUUUAUUUUACCCAUGAAACUCUGAAUUACCGACACCAAACCCUGGAAAGUCAGCCUCUCUUAUAAUCUUUUGAUUUUAAGUCACCAAAAUGUUCCCAAUUUCUUUGUUUUUUUGACAUCGACCUGUUAAAAAAGCUUUCAUCUUUGAACAAGGCUCUAAUAAACAGACAACCUUGGUUCUUUUCCCGUUAUAAUUUUUUCUUAUGUCAUUUUUUUUCUCGUUAAAAAUCGUUACUUUUCUUGUAAAGUUACAACAUUUUUCUCGUAAAUUUAAAGCCAUAAAUUUACGACUUUAAAACUCGGAAACUUACGAGAAAAAAGUCAUGAAUUUAGCCUAUGACUUUUUAAGUCAUAAAUAUGACUAUUCUCACAAAUUUAACAGUUAUGGCUUUUUUCUCAUAAAUUUACGAGAUUUAAAGUUGUAAUUAAAAAAAAAAAAA